rnacentral:rRNA from 1 species
GAUGAACGCUGGCGGCGUGCCUAAUACAUGCAAGUCGAGCGAACAGACGAGGAGCUUGCUCCUCUGACGUUAGCGGCGGACGGGUGAGUAACACGUGGAUAACCUACCUAUAAGACUGGGAUAACUUCGGGAAACCGGAGCUAAUACCGGAUAAUAUAUUGAACCGCAUGGUUCAAUAGUGAAAGACGGUUUUGCUGUCACUUAUAGAUGGAUCCGCGCCGCAUUAGCUAGUUGGUAAGGUAACGGCUUACCAAGGCAACGAUGCGUAGCCGACCUGAGAGGGUGAUCGGCCACACUGGAACUGAGACGCGGUCCAGACUCCUACGGGAGGCAGCAGUAGGGAAUCUGCCGCAAUGGGCGAAAGCUUGACGGAGCAACGCCGCGUGAGUGAUGAAGGUCUUCGGAUCGUAAAACUCUGUUAUUAGGGAAGAACAAAUGUGUAAGUAACUAUGCACGUCUUGACGGUACCUAAUCAGAAAGCCACGGCUAACUACGUG